CAAACACAACCGUUGGGCCUAAAAAGAGAGUUAGACUCUCUGGGAAAGAACUCAUCCACCUCCUGUUACAAAGUCACCACAUCAGAGUGAUCCCAUAUCUCAUCAAUGCCUUUGUUAGACGUCUGGAAGACGAGUUAAUGAUAUGAUAUUGUCGCAAUAGGUGCUAAUCCCUAAGGAAAAGGAAUUAGGGAAUACAGAUUUACAGAAAAGCUGGUCCAAAUAUUAGGCGACGCACUUUUUGGAAUGACAGCAGAGCUGGACAAAAACGGAAUCCAAGGACACCUGCUCUGUUCAGCACCGUGGUUACUAUGGACUGGGCACAGUCGCUCGCGCAGGAGAUUCUGUUGAGGUGCCGCCAGUACACUUCCAAAUGUUUUUCAUAUGUCUUUCCAGGACUGCUUUGAAAGUGUGGAGCCAGUCCUGCAGCCAAGUGACUGGAAUAGCUAUGGAAACCUGCACAACCUGAUCUCAUUUGGUCCAGUUUUGAGAAUGAAGAACAGGUUUCUAUAUAAACGUGUGGAAGGUCCUGAUUCUGCCAUGCUGGUACCCAUUCUGCUGGGAUCCCUUACCGGCUUUGCUGUCUUGGGCAGUGCUUUUAUAAGCCUUUGGCUGCAUCAUAGACAGAAAACCAAAACCGUAGGUUAUCCACAGCUUGGAGAAAUCCAUGGCCUGUGAACCACGAGCAGCCGACUGGUCCUGCAAAUCCCACGCCACUGCUACAAUGCUCAGAAAAGCAAUUGAUUUUGCUCUGCAUACUGUAUUGCUUUCGUAAAGCUUCUGCUGACCCAGGGACCAAGAUGCCCAAUCUCUGCUUUAAGCAUAUCUCUCCUUCCUUUCUUUGCUUCUGCAUGAGCAAGUCCACAAACUGCAGUGUAGUAGUGGUCCAGCUAUAAGGGAGAGCAGAGCUUAAAAUGCAAUAUGUGCAAGCAUGAGCACACAGUUUGUUCACAGAAAUGGGAAAGCAGACAGGAAAUCGUGAUGCAGAAGAGCCACAUAAAAUAAAGCACUGUAGACUAGAGCCAUGCCAUCAAGGAGAAUGGAUUGUUAGGAAAAAUUACAAAACCAAAGUUUAUUGAUUGGGAACUUGGACAGGACCCAAGAGCUCCAGUGAUCCAGCCACUUGGCUUUACAGCUUUUGUCACAUCUAAGGAGCUGUUUUCUCACUUUCAGUGGAAUCAAGUUUCCACUACCUGCCUGUUGGUAAAAUCCAUAUAGUGGGAGAAUGUUCAGAAUGCAAAAGCUUUGUCCGUAAGGCUGGAUUUGAGAGCACAUAAAAAGAGCUCGCCACGUUCAACCUGUAGGUCCACUUUCCUUACUGUUGUUGCCAGAAUGCAGGCAGAAAAGCGGCCACUGCCAGAGCACCUCUUGUCAAAUGCAACGCACAAGUAGCUUGGGCUUCCACCUGGAUCAGUCUUCCUCCAAGAAUUUCUCCAGAUCUUAUAUGUGGCUAAAAAUUCCAGGUCAAGACUCAACAACAAUUACCCUUCAGAAAUUAUCAUUUGUAUUGCAGUAGCGCUGAGGAAACCAGCACCACGUUGCACCUGGCAUUGACUUACCUACAGAGAUAGUGCCUGUGCUAAGUCGUUAAAGACACACAUGCACAAGACCCAGAGGAGUGUCAUUAAACCGGUUUUACAGCGGGGGAGUCCAGGCAUAAAGCAACUAAAAGCAUGCAUGCAUCAAUACUCUGAUAUAGCCAGGAAGGAGUUCAGCUCUCCUGUGCCCCAACCCUGCUCUUUAACCAAAAGGCUGUUCUCUUUCCUGAAGUAAGUUUGUAAACAGGGUCUCUGAGACCAACACAGCAGGUUCAGUACAAAAUAGCAGUGAAAGGAGUACAAUGUAGAAAGCCGUAUUGCUUUUUUGCACUAAAAUGCACCUGGAAUGCAGUCACAUUUGAAGUACAGCAGAUUCUUAGAAAUACCUGUACAAGGACUUUGUGGUUCUGGAGGAGUCUGGCAUGGUGCCCAGGUACAGCCACAGGCAGAGUGGGGUGCUGCGUCCUGGACACCACAGCUGACCCGAUGGGGGCCAUAGCUGGAGGGAGAGAAGGGGCCAGCAGCCGCCUUGCAGCGAGGUGUCAGCAAUCGCCUUGGCAAUGAGAACUGGCAGCUAUCGCUGGGGGCAGGUCAGGAACCAUCUUCAAAGGGAUGAGCAACAGCCUUUUUGGGGAGAGUAAUCACGCGUCUCAGGGAAGGGGAGUGCAGCAUGCAUCUUGCAGUAUGGGCAGACACAAGCAUCUCAGGGUGAGGGGGUUCAGAGUCAGCAGCCACCCCAGAGGUUGGUCAGCAGCAGCAUUUUGCCCUCUUUCUUUCAAUGAAUAAACCAAAUAGAGUGCUAUGCGGACUGCAGAGGUAUGGCUUUCUACCACUUCGCAGAUGUUUUGUUGUACUAUAAAGCUUUUGAGUGUCCUAGCAGAAUUUUCCUUACUGUCUGGCUUUGCUUGCAGCUCUGCAGUGGAUGGGGUGGGACACCUCCUCAGCUGAGUACGGAGCAGCACAACUGUUGGCGUGUGGUUGGCUGUGGCAGCAAGAGCCAGUUUUGUCUUGAGUGAUGUUCAUUCUUUCAAUGCAGAGACUGUCCAGGGGUGUCUGUACAGGCUACGGGUAACUGCCAUGCGGCUUUUCAAGUGUUGUCCCUUUGUCCACUUUCCUAUGUGCGUGACGUCAGCUUUUGGGUUCCUGAUGGAGGACAAUUUGAUGCAGUUGCUUUUCACACCAUUGCUAGGCGGGUGUCAGGUGAAAAGGUCAUAUCCAUCCAGUUAAUUGACAGUUUCCAGCAAUCGGAGACUGGACAGAAGAGCCUCUGCUACAGGCUGACCUUUCAGUCCUGUGACAAGGCACUGAGCCGUCAGGAGGUGGCAGAGAUGCAGCUGCUCUUUCGGAAGGAAAUAAACCAACGCUUGGGUGUAACCCUUCGGUAGCGCGUUCUAUGUUGUUUUCAGGUGCUCGAGCAGCAUCUGCGCUUGUUGCCGGUCUGGAAAACGUGACCUACAUCUUGUUGGACCUAACACUGUGUGUUAUUGCAGUGCCUCUUACAAACGCAGCGCGGACUUGCAAGUACCUGCACGCGUUCUAAAUGUGGAAAUUCCUGUUAAUGAAGACCUUCGUCCUCUG